rnacentral:rRNA from 1 species
CUUUACUGUAAUCUGAAAUUGAAUUGGAGCUUUUUUUGCACAGUCUAGGUGGGAGGCGUGAAAAAUUUUCUUUCGGGAAAAUUGUAGCCAAAAAGUGAGAGACCACUCUAAAAAAGCUAUGAUUCUAAUAGCGUCCCUUGAAGCAGGGCGCUUGACAGUUUCAGACGGGCAGUUUGACUGGGGCGGUCAUCUCUUAAAAGGUAACAGAGAUGUGCAAAGGUUCCUUCAGGCUGGACGGAAAUCAGCUGUUGAGUGUAAAGGCAUAAGGGAGCUUGACUGUAAGACCUACAAGUCGAACAGAGGCGAAAGCCGGUCUUAGUGAUCCGACAGUUCCGUGUGGAAGGGCUGUCGCUAAACGGAUAAAAGUUA